AGUGAACGCUGGCGGUAGGCCUAACACAUGCAAGUCGAACGGCAGCACAGUAAGAGCUUGCUCUUACGGGUGGCGAGUGGCGGACGAGUGAGGAAUACAUCGGAAUCUACUUUUUCGUGGGGGAUAACGUAGGGAAACUUACGCUAAUACCGCAUACGACCUACGGGUGAAAGCAGGGGAUCUUCGGACCUUGCGCGAUUGAAUGAGCCGAUGUCGGAUUAGCUAGUUGGCGGGGUAAAGGCCCACCAAGGCGACGAUCCGUAGCUGGUCUGAGAGGAUGAUCAGCCACACUGGAACUGAGACACGGUCCAGACUCCUAUGGGAGGCAGCAGUGGGGAAUAUUGGACAAGGGGCGCAAGCCUGAUCCAGCCAUACCGCGUGGGUGAAGAAGGCCUUCGGGUUGUAAAGCCCUUUUGUUGGGAAAGAAAAGCAGCAGGUUAAUACCCCGCUGUUCUGACGGUACCCAAAGAAUAAGCACCGGCUAACUUCG
rnacentral:rRNA from 1 species